GGCCGGUGUCUACUCUGAGACCGCUGAGUAUUCAGAGACUGCCACAUGUUAUGAUGCUCCACCUCCUGCUGUCCCAGAUGUUGAUUACAGAAAAGAAGAGAAGCAUCACAAGCAUCUUGAGCACGUUGGUGAGCUUGGAACUGCUGCCGCUGGUGCUUUUUCCAUGGUACAAUGUUUUGUCAGUUGUCACUCGCUAAUUUAAAUUCUGUAUGUUACUACACACACACACACACACACACACACACACACACACACACAUAUAUUCAUGUUAAUAUAUUUUUUAAGGUAUUCUUUUAUUUCAUGUAAUAAUCAAUCUUUUUAAAAAACACCUGUUUUCAAUCAUUGUUUUUUUAGAAUGGUUAUUGUUAUACGUUUUUUUUUUUUUUUAACAAAAAAGGGUAAGUUGGUGGAUUGUGUAUAGAAGUGUGUGUGUGUAUAAUUGAUGUGGGAUUCUCUCAUUUUAAAAAUUUCAAUGCAAGAGCUACAAACAAAUAACAUGUGUGUAUAUAAUUUUUACUGAUACUAUUUAUAGUCUAAUAAUUAUGUUUUUCAAAAUUCUUGAUUUUUUUAUAUUUUUAAAUUGUUUUGAGCUGCUAAAUCAAAAAUAAAUCUUAAAAAAUAAAAAAUAUUAUUUUAAUAUAUUUUAUACAAAAAAAAAAAAAACAAACAGCCUUGCUUCAAAAUCUUUAUUCAAUUAUUUUUCAUAACUCGGGACAAAUUAUUUUUCUGAACACCUGUAAAAAGAUACCAGGCCUAUAUAUCAAUCCUUGUUUUUAUAAAACAAUUAUUUUUUCUCUCUGUUUUUUUUUCUUUAAUGAAAGUUCAAGAAAAUCAGCAAGCCAGCAAGGAAUCGUUUUUUUUUAUUCCAUAUUUAUUUGUUGCUUUAAUAAUUUAGCAUGAGAAGCACGAGUCAAAGAAAGACCCAGAGCAUGCACAAAGGCACAAGAUAGAGGAGGAGAUUGCCGCGGCAGCUGCAGUUGGAUCCGGUGGAUUUGUAUUCCAUGAGCAUCAUGACAAGAAAGAAACCAAGAAAGAGGAAGAAGAGGCUAACGGAAAGAAGCACCACCGCUUCUAAUUGUUUUAAUUAAUUAAUCAAUCUUGUGUGUUACAGGCCUUAAUCUUGGUUAAGUAACUAAUCACUAUAGUUAUACAUCACCCCUCCUAAAUAAUACC
rnacentral:lncRNA from 1 species